AGAGGCUUUCCGGCAGCCGGCACCGGCUGCAUAUCCAUCACCGAUGAAUCCAUCUUUGCACUGACACCGAUAUCCUGGUCCAGCAGGACUUACAAAUCCAUUACAAGUGGAAUGGUCGGAACAAUGGCAAUUCCCUGGAAGCCACCAUCCAAGGUCCAUCACCUGAACAUCCAACGACGUAACACCGGAAGUGAUAGAGUAGUUGGAUGAUAUCGAUGACAAAAGAGACCGGCACUGGCUAAGCUGACUACUUUUGUAAAAGAAACCAUCCUUAGUUAGAUUGAAAAGGCAAUUUAAGCUGCUGUUUUUUGAGCAAUUUACAGACUGGAA
rnacentral:misc_RNA from 1 species